rnacentral:rRNA from 1 species
UACGGAGGAUCCGAGCGUUAUCCGGAUUUAUUGGGUUUAAAGGGUGCGCAGGCGGGAAAUUAAGUCGGCGGUGAAAUUUUGCAGCUCAACUGUAAAAGUGCCAUCGAUACUGGUUUUCUUGAGUGUGGAUGAAGUAGGCGGAAUUUGUGGUGUAGCGGUGAAAUGCAUAGAUAUCACGAGGAACUCCGAUUGCGCAGGCAGCUUACUAGGCCAUAACUGACGCUCAGGCACGAAGGAGUGGGGAUCAAACAGGAUUAGAUA